rnacentral:misc_RNA from 1 species
GAUGAAGAACGUAGCGAAAUGCGAUAAGUAAUGUGAAUUGCAGAAUUCAGUGAAUCAUCGAAUCCUUGAACGCACAUUGCGCCCGUCAGUAUUCUGGCGGGCAUGCCUGUUCGAGCGUCAUUACGCCCCUCAAGUCCCCUGUGGACUUGGUGUUGGGGAUCGGCGAGGCUGGUUUUCCAGCACAGCCGUCCCUUAAAUUAAUUGGCGGUCUCGCCGUGGCCCUCCUCUGCGCAGUAGUAAAACACUCGCAACAGGAGCCCGGCGCGGUCCACUGCCGUAAAACCCCCCAACUUUUUAUAGUUGACCUCGAAUCAGGUAGGACUACCCGCUGAACUUAAGCAUAUCAAUAAGCGGAGGA